rnacentral:ncRNA from 1 species
AACUAUAACGGUCCUAAGGUAGCGAAAUUCCUUGUCGGGUAAGUUCCGACCUGCACGAAUGGCGUAACGACUUCCCCGCUGUCUCCAACAUCGACUCAGCGAAAUUGAAUUGCCUGUCAAGAUGCAGGCUUCCCGCGGUUAGACGGAAAGACCCCGUGCACCUUUACUACAGCUUCGCACUGGCAUCAGGAUUGUGACGUGCAGGAUAGGUGGUAGGCAUCGAAACGUGAACGCUAGUUCACGUGGAGCCUCCCUUGAGAUACCACCCUUCGCACUCUUGAUGUCUAACCGCGGUCCGUUAUCCGGAUCCGGGACCCUGCGUGGCGGGUAGUUUGACUGGGGCGGUCGCCUCCUAAAGCGUAACGGAGGCGCGCGAAGGUUGGCUCAGAGCGGUCGGAAAUCGCUCGUUGAGUGCAAUGGCAGAAGCCAGCCUGACUGCGAGACUGACAAGUCGAGCAGAGACGAAAGUCGGCCAUAGUGAUCCGGUGGUCCCGAGUGGAAGGGCCAUCGCUCAACGGAUAAAAGGUACGCCGGGGAUAACAGGCUGAUACUGCCCAAGAGUCCAUAUCGACGGCAGUGUUUGGCACCUCGAUGUCGGCUCAUCUCAUCCUGGGGCUGGAGCAGGUCCCAAGGGUACGGCUGUUCGCCGUUUAAAGAGGUACGUGAGCUGGGUUUAGAACGUCGUGAGACAGUUCGGUCCCUAUCUGCCGUGGGUGUAGGAUACUUGAGAGGAGUUGCCCCUAGUACGAGAGGACCGGGGUGAACGAACCACUGGUGGACCAGUUGUCGUGCCAACGGCAGUGCUGGGUAGCUAUGUUCGGACAGGAUAACCGCUGAAGGCAUCUAAGCGGGAAGCCCCCCUCAAAACAAGGUAUCCCUGAGGGCCGAGGUAGACCACCUCGUCAAUAGGCCAGAGAUGUAAGCGUGGUAACACGUUCAGUUGACUGGUACUAAUCGCCCGAUUGGCUUGAUCUG